AUUGAACGCUGGCGGCAUGCCUUACACAUGCAAGUCGAACGGCAGCACGGGAGCAAUCCUGGUGGCGAGUGGCGAACGGGUGAGUAAAGUAUCGGAACGUGCCCAGUCGUGGGGGAUAACGUAGCGAAAGUUACGCUAAUACCGCAUACGAUCUAUGGAUGAAAGCGGGGGAUCGCAAGACCUCGCGCGAUUGGAGCGGCCGAUAUCAGAUUAGGUAGUUGGUGGGGUAAAGGCUCACCAAGCCGACGAUCUGUAGCUGGUCUGAGAGGACGACCAGCCACACUGGGACGGAGACGCGGCCCAGACUCCUACGGGAGGCAGCAGUGGGGAAUUUUGGACAAUGGGCGAAAGCCUGAUCCAGCCAUGCCGCGUGCAGGAUGAAGGCCUUCGGGUUGUAAACUGCUUUUGUACGGAACGAAAAGGUUUGGCCUAAUAAGCUGAGCUCAUGACGGUACCGUAAGAAUAAGCACCGGCUAACUCUGUGCCAGCCGCCGCAGUAA
rnacentral:rRNA from 1 species